CAGGCGCAGCCGCCGCUCUGCCCUCUGGGAAUUAGAGUCUUGCAGCCUCCCUCCCGGCCACUGGAUGCUGGGAUCUUGGAUCCACAAAGAACUACAAUACCGUGAGGCCCUGCGGCUCAGCCCCCCGCGGAGAGGAGGAAGAGGAAGGCAGGAGGAAGGGGGGCAGAAAGGAAGCGAGUCGCGCGUGGUGCCUGCCGGGACUUGUAGUUUUAACUGGACCUUCUCCGUCGUCUUCCCCACUCUGGGACGCGAGCAACAGUGAAGGAGAGACCACGUUUCCUAGGAUGCCCUGCGGCGCGUUCAGCCUCACUUCCCCUUAGGCGGAGAGAAGGCUGCAGGGAAGCUCGGUGAAAACAGGAUUAAAGGGAGUGGGUGUCGGAAGCGGAGGGGCUGAAGUUCCCGACUCGUAGGAGGGGAGGGCGCUUGACGGGCUCUCAGUGGAGAAGCCUUUACAUAACACGGCGUCAUCUGCCUUUCAUCAAAACCUUGUUAGAAAACAUGCCCCGAAGGAAAUGACGUCCUUCGGUUCACACAGCCGGACUUUUCAGAGCCUUUCUAUGCUGAGGACACAGAGACUCCAGAGAAAGAGCAGUGAUGCCUCCAGAAGGUCUAGGGAGAAGAAGGGCUUAAUGGCAGGAGUCUGCUUGCAGCGGAAGAUACUAGAAUGUCCAGAACCCUUCCGAUCAACUUACCAAUAAGCUCAAUGUAUAACACUGACCAAUAUGACUGGAGUGGGAACGAGCGAGAGGUAUUCCAACUUGCCCCAUCCCCACCCUCCCCAAAGGGUGUACUUUGAAAACCAUUGGAAAAACUCACCCCCUCAUAAAAGGCUUGAAAUGCCCCGUCUGUAAUAUGCUACAUUAAAAUGUUUACGCAUCUCGA